GUCUGAUUAGCUAGUUGGUGAGGUAAAGGCUUACCAAGGCUUCGAUCAGUAGCUGGUCUGAGAGGACGACCAGCCACACUGGGACUGAGACACGGCCCAGACUCCUACGGGAGGCAGCAGUGGGGAAUUUUGGACAAUGGGGGAAACCCUGAUCCAGCCAUGCCGCGUGAGUGAAGAAGGCCUUCGGGUUGUAAAGCUCUUUCAGCCGGAACGAAACGGUCACGGUUAAUACCCGUGAUCACUGACGGUACCGGAAGAAGAAGCACCGGCUAACUACGUGCCAGCAGCCGCGGUAAUACGUAGGGUGCGAGCGUUAAUCGGAAUUACUGGGCGUAAAGCGUGCGCAGGCGGUUUUGUAAGUCAGAUGUGAAAUCCCCGGGCUCAACCUGGGAACUGCGUUUGAAACUACA
rnacentral:rRNA from 1 species